rnacentral:lncRNA from 1 species
UGGCAUAAAUCUUUUGCAACUUUUUCUUCUUUCCUCUCUUAGAGGAUCGACGACCUGCUAAUGAACCUCCCACUAUAUGCACCGACUCCUUCUAGAGCUGAUGAUCCUUUUUGAAUGUCUGCAGCAAUCCUAGUAAAUUAUGAUAGUUUACUGCAGGCUUGGUCAUUCUAUAAUGACUCAAAAAGGAUAGAUAAGAUUUUGAUAGCAAGUUUAGGAUAGCAUCCUUGCCUAACUGUUCAUAUAAUGAAAAGCCAAAUUUACUUAAGUGUUCAAUCUACUCUAUCAUGUAUAAUACAUGAUC